rnacentral:rRNA from 1 species
GACGAGCGCUGGCGGCAUGCCUAAUACAUGCAAGUCGAGCGAACAGAUGAAGUGCUUGCACUUCUGACGUUAGCGGCGAACGGGUGAGUAACACGUAAGGAAUCUACCUAUAAGCGGGGGAUAACAUUCGGAAACGGGUGCUAAUACCGCAUAAUAUCUUCUUCCGCAUGGAAGAAGAUUGAAGGACGGCUCUGCUGUCACUUAUAGAUGACCUUGCGGUGCAUUAGUUAGUUGGUGGGGUAAUGGCCUACCAAGACGAUGAUGCAUAGCCGACCUGAGAGGGUGAUCGGCCACAUUGGGACUGAGACACGGCCCAAACUCCUACGGGAGGCAGCAGUAGGGAAUCUUCCGCAAUGGGCGAAAGCCUGACGGAGCAAUGCCGCGUGAGUGAAGAAGGCCUUCGGGUCGUAAAACUCUGUUAUAAGAGAAGAACAAAUUGUAGAGUAACUGCUACAGUCUUGACGGUAUCUUAUCAGAAAGCCACGGCUAACUACGUGCCAGCCGCCGCAGUAA